rnacentral:misc_RNA from 1 species
AACGCACCUUGCGCUCCUUGGUAUUCCGAGGAGCAUGCCUGUUUGAGUGUCAUUAAAUUCUCAACCUCUCUAGCUUUGCUAGUAAGAUGGCUUGGAUGUGGGGGUUAUUUUUGCAGGCUUUCACAAGUCAGCUCCCCUGAAAUGCAUUAGCCGGUACUCUCUGACCGUCUAUUGGUGUGAUAAUUAUCUACGCCGUGGACUGAAGAAAUUGUACUGCUUAUAAUCGUUCUGUAUAGAACAAUUCAUGACAUUUUGACCUCAAAUCAGGUAGGACUACCCGCUGAACUUAA